rnacentral:rRNA from 1 species
ACGGCCCAGACUCCUACGGGAGGCAGCAGUGGGGAAUAUUGCACAAUGGGGGAAACCCUGAUGCAGCGACGCCGCGUGGAGGAAGAAGGUCUUCGGAUUGUAAACUCCUGUUGUUGAGGAAGAUAAUGACGGUACUCAACAAGGAAGUGACGGCUAACUACGUGCCAGCAGCCGCGGUAAAACGUAGGUCACAAGCGUUGUCCGGAAUUACUGGGUGUAAAGGGAGCGCAGGCGGGAAGACAAGUUGGAAGUGAAAUCCAUGGGCUCAACCCAUGAACUGCUUUCAAAACUGUUUUUCUUGAGUAGUGCAGAGGUAGGCGGAAUUCCCGGUGUAGCGGUGGAAUGCGUAGAUAUCGGGAGGAACACCAGUGGCGAAGGCGGCCUACUGGGCACCAACUGACGCUGAGGCUCGAAAGUGUGGGUAGCAAACAGGAUUAGAUACCCUGGUAGUCCACACCGUAAACGAUGAUUACUAGGUGUUGGAGGAUUGACCCCUUCAGUGCCGCAGUUAACACAAUAAGUAAUCCACCUGGGGAGUACGACCGCAAGGUUGAAACUCAAAGGAAUUGACGGGGGCCCGCACAAGCAGUGGAUUAUGUGGUUUAAUUCGAAGCAACGCGAAGAACCUUACCAGGUCUUGACAUCCGACUAACGAGAUAGAGAUAUGUCAGGUGCCCUUCGGGGAAAGUCGAGACAGGUGGUGCAUGGUUGUCGUCAGCUCGUGUCGUGAGAUGUUGGGUUAAGUCCCGCAACGAGCGCAACCCUUAUGGUCAGUUACUACGCAAGAGGACUCUGGCCAGACUGCCGUUGACAAAACGGAGGAAGGUGGGGAUGACGUCAAAUCAUCAUGCCCU